AGUUUAACGUACAGCGCUCCUUCAGUGAAAUCUCACAAACAGGGGGAGAUAAUUUGAUUGUGUGGCAUGAUUUCUGAAGCUUUUAGAUUCAUUAACUGAAAAAAUUAAUAUCUUUCCCCCACUCGCUUUUCUUUUAGCUCGGUUUAAACUUAUCACUAAUGCGUCACAUGGCAAAUAGAUUUUACAAUUAUUUUCAGCUCAAUUGGAAUAACAUUUCCAUCACAUAUAUAUAUAAUAAACAAUAUCUGAAUAAAUAAAUGCGUUAUUCUAAAAAUAAGACGGGAAACAUUUUCAUCUCUUCCUCAUCCUUGAACAAGCCAGUGAUCAAGAACGUCCCUGCUUGCCUUCACAACCAGUUAUAGUAAGCUUCCUCCACCCAGCAAUACCGCCAUCUACACCGCUGCUAUAUCAUCAUCUUCAGCGUCUACUGGCAACUGUUCUGCUACUAUAACGACUGCAGCUUUACCGACAUUUCUUUACCAAUAAGCAGCAGCAGUAGCAGUCGCACACACCAACACCUCCACCACCACUACCAACACCAUUACCACCGUUUACUGCUGCCAUCCGGGGGAGGCACACCGAGUAAAGACGAAGGCGGUGGAGGAAGAAGAAGCCGCCGACGACGACGAAGAAGAGGAAGAAGAAAACGUCGUGGUUCGACGCUGCUAGAAUAAACCGACUACUACCAAGCACCUUAACGUCAGCCAGGGAAGAAAGAAGCUUUCCCUUGUUGAAACAAGGACUGGAGUGUCGGCUUCAUCCCAGCAUCGUUUGGUGAAGCCGAACAACUCCAUCAACGUUGUCGCCACCACCCAAAAUAUCUACCAAAAUACCUACCCACCCCCCAGUCGGGAUAUAUUUUGGGGGUGGGAGAAAAAGUGAGAGAGUUAGAAAGAGAAAGAUGUGGAUUUCAAUACGUAUCCUUUUGACAAGCAACAACAUCCAUGGCUGAAACCAGCUCCAGGCACGUCCUCUCUGUGGUAACAGCAUUAAACCUCCUUCGACAGCACCAAGUCUGGUCAGGGCACAUUACUACAGAAAAGGUUUUUAGAGCCCUAAUAAAAAGAAAACAAAUCUAAGGGAAGACGUCUUUUAAAAAAAGUAUUAAAACUAAAAAAUAUAUAUAUAUAUAUAAAACACCGCGGAAAUUUGGAGAGAUAUGGCACCCACAAGGAGCACAGGACAGUGGCAAGGUGUCCGCCGCCGUCGCCGGGGAGGGACUCUUUAUUACCAUUAUUAUUCUGGCACUGUCGCAGAAGGAGGAUCUUUACUCAGGAAAAGCUUGACACUGGAACCGUUAUUAUUAUAUUCCGUGUUACAUCUGCUUUUAUUCUAUCAAGGGUGUGAAGCUCUUGAUUUAG